rnacentral:rRNA from 1 species
UAAAAAAAUUUUUAAAUUAAAUUAUUUUAAUGGGGGUUAAAGUAUUUUUAAAGAAAAAAUUAAUUAAUUUAUAGUGAAUUAGUAUUGUGAAAGAAUUUUGAAAAAAAUGAAAAAAAAAUUAGUUAAAAGUAAAUUUAAUUUAUUGUAUCUUGUGUAUCAGAGUUUAUUAAAUAAAAAUUAAAAAUUUAAAGUUCUCGAAUUUAAAAGAGAUAAUUAAUUAUGAAAGUUAUUGUUGCAUAAAUAUUUUAAAUAAUUAAUUGGAAAUGAAAUGUUAAUCGUUUUUAAAUAUAUCUAGUUUUUUUAGAAAAAAAUUUAAUUUUAUAUUAUUAAAAUAAAAAAUUAAUUAAUUAAUUUUUUAUUUUAAUAAUAUUAUAUUUUAAGGGAUAAGCUUUAAUUUAAAUUUAUAUAAAUUUAUAUUAAUUUUAAUUAAAAUUUUUAUGAUUUAUAUUGUUAAUAAAUUUUAAUUUAUUAUAAAUAAUUUUAUUUAAAAUAAAAUUUAAUUUAAAUUUUAUAUAUUUAUAAAAAAAAAAUUUUAAAUUUUAUAAAAUUUGUUAUAAUGAUAAAAUUAGUAUAUAUGAAUAUUAUUUAAAAUUUUAAAAAUUAAAUAUUUAUUUUAGUUAAUAAAAAGGAAUUCGGCAAAAAUUUAUAUUCACUUGUUUAUCAAAAACAUGUCUUUUUGAAUUUAAUAUAAAGUCUAAUCUGCCCACUGAUAUAAUUUAUAUUAAAGGGCUGCAGUAUAUUGACUGUACAAAGGUAGCAUAAUCAUUAGUCAUUUAAUUGGUGACUUGUAUGAAAGAUUGGAUGAAAUAUAGACUGUCUCUUUAUUAUUUAUAGAAUUUAAUUUUUUAAUCAAAAAGUUAAAAUAAUUUAAAAAGACGAGAAGACCCUAUAGAGUUUUAUAUUUAAAUUAAUUGAGAUUAUUUAUAAAAUUUUUAAUUAAAAUUAUUUUAAUUAUUUUGUUGGGGUGACAAAAAAAUAAAAAUAACUUUUUUUAAAUUUUAACAUAUAUAAUUGAUUUUAUGAUCCAUUAUUAAUGAUUAUAAGAAAAAAUUACCUUAGGGAUAACAGCGUAAUUUUUUUUUUUAGUUCGAAUAAAAAAAAGAGUUUGCGACCUCGAUGUUGGAUUAAGAUAAAAUUUAAAUGUAGAAGUUUAAAAUUUUUGAUCUGUUCGAUCAUUAAAAUCUUACAUGAUCUGAGUUCAAACCGGUGUAAGCCAGGUUGGUUUCUAUCUUUUAAUAAUUAUAAAAUAUUUUAGUACGAAAGGAUCAAAUAUUUAAAUUAAAUUUAUUUAAUGAAUAUUAUUAAUU